CAAUAGCGUAUAUUAAAGUUGUUGCAGUUAAAAAGCUCGUAGUUGGAUUUCUGGUGGGAGCGAUCGGUCUGGCGCUUAGCGCGAGUACUUGCAUCGUCUCCGGCCAUCCUUGGGGAGAGUCUGUCUGGCAUUAAGUUGUCGGGCAGAGGAUCCUCAUCGUUUACUGUGAAAAAAUUAGAGUGUUCAAAGCAGGCUUAUGCCGUUGAAUAUAUUAGCAUGGAAUAAUAAGAUAGGACUUUGGUACUAUUUUGUUGGUUUGCGCACCAAAGUAAUGAUUAAUCGGGACAGUUGGGGGUAUUCGUAUUCCGUUGUCAGAGGUGAAAUUCUUGGAUUUACGGAAGACGAACUACUGCGAAAGCAUUUACCAAGGAUGUUUUCAUUAA
rnacentral:rRNA from 1 species